rnacentral:lncRNA from 1 species
UCGAGAACCAAGGGAGUACUAUAAAGUACAAUUUAUAUUAAUUGUAUGCUCUCAAUUGGACAAGUUGGAAGUCUAUUACUAGACUUUACCGCUUCCUCCUUUCAUCGGAGACAAUGGAAGUGGUGCUAGCUCUUCAAGAUGGUCGCGUUGUCUUUUGAUCUAAAUGUCCCUCCUAUUGAGCUGGAGUCAUUUACAAAAUCUAAGAGCAUUAGAUACCUUGUUGUGAAUUUAAAUCUCUCUAUUCUUGAAUUUUUGAUGUUUCAAAAAGCAUCGUCGAUAAUUAUUUGCUACUUAGCAUGGCAUUGUAGUUUGGGAAAUCAACAGCAUUGAUGAUAGCUGAAAUCAGAGCCGGUUCUGUGAUUGUCGGGGUCUGAGGCGAAAUCCGUAAAUUAGGCCCCCGGAGAAAUCAACGUAAAUGCAAAAUUCAAUAGUGUAUUAUGCGACCCAUUACUAACUUAAAAAACUAACAUUAAAACAAUCAAAUAUAUUAUAGAAAAUAUUUAUAUUAUAAACUGUCAAAACAAACAAUGUUUCAAAUAAUUAGUUAAAUACUAUUCAUCUUACUGUUUUAGAGACAAAAACAUCAAUCAAAUUUGUAUAAUUUUGCUGCUCAACCAUUUCUUUCUCUAAUGUCCAAUGAUUAAUCUAAAAAAAUAAUUACAAAAUAUCUCAAUCAUCUCACUAUUACAAUUUCUAAUAUGGUUACUAUGUGCACCAGUGCAAUUGUUCAUCCUAUAAUAACAAAUCAUAUAAGCCGACUAGGCUGCAAUUAUAUAAGUCGACUAGGCUGCAAUUAUAUAAGCCAACAAGGUUUCAAACAUUUUCAAUCUCUACAAUAACAAGUUAGGGCAAGUUAUUACUUACCUGAGAAAUGGAAUUUCGACGAAAAUUACGGAAUUACACCCUUGAAAAUGAUCCCGUCACAACUCACGAGCCUGAAAUAAAAAUUUAUAUAAAAUUAUGAUACUUAACUUAUGCAUUAUCAAAUUUAAGUAAAAUUAAAUUUAGGGCAUUGUCGCAUUGUAAGAAGUUAUCCAAAUCAAUUCCUUCAAUUAAGUUAUCAAAUUCAUUCACUUUAUCACACUUCCUACAUAGUAAAAUCCCAACAAAAGACUUUAAAAGCCCAAUUUUCAACAAUAUUUUAUUUUAUUUUUAUUUUUAUUUUUUUAUUUUUUUUGGGUAUGAAGUAUUCAGUAUGCCAAAUCUACUAGAAAUAUUAAUUAGAAAGGGAUCACGAUGAAACCCUCAAUCUUGCUAAAUAUUUUUAAACUUACUAGAACCAGUACUAUAACAAAAAGGAAAUCUCAUCAUACUUUGAUCAAGCAAAAAUCCAAAAAAAAAAUAUCGCUGAAGUCUUGAACGUUCAUCGUGUGAUUGAAAAAGAGAGCCAUUUUAAUCUUGUUCAUAUUUUCAAUUUCCUUCACAACUACAUUGUGAUUAGGAUGCUACUGCUGGGGAUUUUCUCCAAUUUACCCUACAAUUUAAAAUGUAAUAAGGGGACGAACUAAAAAACACAAGAAUUGAACCGAUCGGGCCUAUCUAGUUUUCAAAACCUUGAAUGUUCAGUGCAAAGUUAAGAUCAUUAACAUUUAAAUUGAAAAAUUUAUAGGUUCUUCAUACUUGUUUGGAAAUUUAAAUGCUUUUCCACCACUGGUACAACUAGACAACCAGUUAGCAUUGUGGAGAACAAAAGACUAAAAGAACUCGGUCCAACAAUGCACAAACAAGAGACCAUCUCUCAAAAUUUCCCAAAACAUUAAGAAAUAUGAAGGAUAUGUUACAAAUCUAUGAACCAUUGAAACCCCUCAAAAUUCCAAAAGAAGUGCAGUUACCGUUCUUUGACUUUGUCAAUCGAUGCCCAUUGCCAAUUUGCCCAAUAAGCCAAUAUUCGAUCGACGAGCAGACUUCGACCGACUUCUCAAAGAUUUUGGGAACUGGUGUACGAAGCGAUCGGCGGCAGAAGGGCGAAGGCGGACUGGUGGAGACUGGAGUGACCUAAUGGAGACAACACAGACACUUAGAUGAUGAGCAGGUCAUGAAUCGUAUUUCAGAUUUUGGGAUUUUUAGGUAAAUGGAUUGUGAAUAUUGGAUAUAUAAGUUGGGUUGGAAUUUAAGGGUAAAUGGAUUUGUGGGUUGUUGUUUAGUUAUUGGAUAAUUAGUUUUGGGCCAACUACCUUGUUUGGGGGGGGGGGGGGGGGGGGGGGGGAAUCUGGGCCAAAAUUAGGCCCCCUAUGGUCUUGGGUCUGAGGCGCAGGCCUCAUUGGCCUCACCCCAGGACCGGGCUUGACUGAAGUAGUACUAAGAAAGAAAAAAUAAGCUAAAAAUACUUAUCCAUUAUGCAUAGCAAGCAUUCACCAAAUGCAUUAGAUCUAAAUUUUAGCAGUAAACUUUGAUCUUCUCAUUCAUCCAUAAUAUUCAAAAACUAGAUGAAGCAUAUCAAAGUUUUAAACUUGAUUGUCUUUUGAAAAUCAUGAGCAAUUGAAAGUGCUUGCCAGUUGCCACGGUAUUAAUAGUUAACACUGUUAAUCUACAUGUAACCCGACAUUGGAAAUAGUUUCUUUAAUUCAAUAAACUAGAUCAUCUGGAUGUUCACAUAUAUGUUAUAUCAUGAAUAAAGGAUUCGAACUUUUACCUAAAUUCGAUCUUGAAGUAUAUCUUGGUUUGGUUCUGACAUGGACUUUUAUCACUCCGGUGACGAGCAUUUUAAGUUCAUGCAGGACAUUCAGGUUCACAAUAUGCAAAAGCAGUUAUAUGGGGACACACAUACCUUGGUUCCAGCCACAAUAGUGCCAUUUAGGGGAUGAGCUGCACAUUCAGUAACACCUUUAGAUAAUGACAAAAAUUUGUUUCGUUUAUGCUGGCUGGCUGGUUCCUCAGUGCUCAUUAAAUCAUCGUCGCUGGCAAUAAACUUUGCGUUAUCAGCAACCUCACGUCAACGUUUAGUCUCUAAUUUAUCCCCUGUCCUUCCUGCUUGCUAAUCAAAAUCAAAAGCGAGGGGGAAAUUACAC